rnacentral:rRNA from 1 species
UGGGGAAUCUUGCGCAAUGGGCGAAAGCCUGACGCAGCGACGCCGCGUGGGUGAUGAAGGCCUUCGGGUUGUAAAGCCCUGUGGAGAGGGACGAAUAAGUUCGACCUAAUACGCCGGGCGAUGACGGUACCUCUUUAGCAAGCACCGGCUAACUCUGUGCCAGCAGCCGCGGUAAGACAGAGGGUGCAAACGUUGUUCGGAAUUACUGGGCGUAAAGCGCGUGUAGGCGGUCGUGCAAGUCGGGUGUGAAAGCCCAGGGCUCAACCCUGGAAGUGCAUUCGAUACUGCAUGGCUAGAGUCCCGGAGAGNAUGGUGGAACUCUCGGUGUAGAGGUGAAAUUCGUAGAUAUCGAGAAGAACACCGGUGGCGAAGGCGGCCAUCUGGACGGUGACUGACGCUGAGACGCGAAAGCGUGGGGAGCAAACA